rnacentral:lncRNA from 1 species
AAAUGCGUCUCCAGUACGCCCUUGACACUCACCUCGAUGGAGGUCCGCUUCUUGCGCUUGCGGCCCUGUGCAGCGAUCUUGUCAAUGCUGGUCGGGCUCCCUGUGGACGAAUCCGCCUCCUCCAGCCACUUGUUCAGCAGGGGCUUCAGCUUGCACAUAUUUUUGAAGCUCAGCUGCAAGGCCUCGAACCUGCAGAUGGUGGUCUGCGAGAACACGUUACCAUACAGUGUGCCCAGCGCCAACCCCACGUCGGCCUGCGUGAAGCCCAACUUGAUUCUUCUUUGUUUGAAUUGUUUGGCGAACUGUUCCAACUCAUCAGAGGUUGGCGUCUCCUCGUCGGAGUGAUCCUGGCAAUGGUGCGAGCCCAGUUCGCCGUGAUCCGGGGGCUCUCGGAGCACCGGGUGCAGGCUCUGUGCAGAGGCGGCAGCUGGAGGUGGGGUGAGUCCCCCGUGUUCCAGCAUGCCGCUCACGGUGAAGCCAGGCUGCGAGUACACGUUGAGGGGUUGGCCGCUUGACGUGAUAGACGGGUUCGGUGCCGGGCUGGCCCCCCAGGCGUUGGGGUGGUUAGUGUGCGGUGAGUGGUGGGCUACGUGUGGCGAGCGGUGAUGGAUGAUCGCACCCAGUUGCAGGUCUUCGCGCCCGGGCUUCACGUCCUGCUGGUCCAGGGGGCUGGUGGCCAGUGUGGAGGACCAUGGGCCCCCGUCGCUCAGACUGGUCACCCAGUGAUGCCCGAGGGGAUGCCCAUUGCUGGGAACUCCCUGCAAGUAAUCACUUUGGAGAAGUUUCUGAGGGUUGCGGAAAGGACUCCCCUGCUGCAUGCCCGCAGAGUCCGCAUGGACUAGGGAGGUGGAACUGAGAAUGCUGUAGGGAUUCGAGGCAGCUGUGGCCAUGGUCGGUGAGGAUCCCCUACUAGUUAUAAUGUGGCAAAGGGAGCAGCUUCAGCCUUUGACAUCUACGGUGCGGGGAGCCAAAGACGCUAGCACGGGUUACCGGCACCCACCACGGCCAAUCGCAGCGCGUCUCCGCCUGGCCAGGAGUAAGCCCGGCCAAUAGCGGUGCGGGAGGUCGGGCUCGCUUUCCAAAUUAGGCUGGUGAAGCUCCGGAGUUUCAAUGAGACCCAAGCAGGAAGUGAAUCAAUCUUUCAGCUCCAUUGGCUGCCUAGCGCAGAGUGGCGGCCGUACAUUUGAUUACUACCCCCCCCACCGCGGGGUUUAUGUUGAUGGGGAAAAGAUGUGAGGGAUGUGUUGUUGGGGGGCAGUCAGGGAGUGAGGUGGAAAAUUAAGGUUGUAGAACUCCUUUUUGAUUAUUUAGAUUAAUCUAAAUAAAGAAAAAGUAAAGCAAGUUUAAAUGUCAUUUUGAUCUCAGUGAAUAGGGAUUUUUCAGACUCACUCGGCUGUCUGGGCGGGCUAGUUGUGUGCCUAGGACUGCAAAACAAAACGUCGCUACAAACUUUGAGCAAAGUAACGUCUUCGAUUGGACCCUAAACCAAUAAAGUUGAAACCAAUGAUUCCAAUAAGAACAUUUCAGUUUAUUUCAUUGUAUUAAGAACCUCGAUAUCAAGGUCUGAAAGCUUCUAAGAGAUAUCCUGUUCUUUCAAUUUUUCUGAAAAAUUUUUUAGGUCACGAAGAACUGAAUUAUUCUGGGAAAGUAAAAUCUAAUGUGAUACUGACAAUAUUCAGUUAUUUCGAAGUUUGCUUCCCAAUCUAGCUGGUCAAUUGGAAACCUUGCUUUCUCACUGCUCCAUAUCAGUUCCCAUCACAGAUCCCACAACUUCUGUCAAAGGUUCUGCUUGCUGAAGCGGGCAGCCCUCACACUCACCCAAAACACUCUGCAGACCCACUACGAAUAGGUAUACAGGAAAACGUUCGUGACCCCGCGCCCCGAUGCCAUCCCCUAGGAAAAUUGUUUUUAACCUUCACCGCUCCCCCACCCUCCUCACCCGCCCUGCAUUUAAUGUGCCCAGGAAAUUCAGAGAGAGAGAAAUGGCGGGAUGUUUGGCAUCAAGUACCGCCCCCACUUCCCCAGUCCCCAUCAAGCUUGAAUUUGCUUUCAGCUUGAAAAGAUAGGACUGCUUUUACAUUUUGGAUAGAAUAAAAGAGGUGAAACACUUGUGCUCCUUCUAAGCUUUUAUAAGUUAGGAAAGGACAAGUCCGUGUGCUCCACAGCCCGGCGCAAAGGCAGUGCUUGGAAGCAGAGUGGGGAGAAAGGCAAAGAUUUGAUUUGUUCUAGCUGAGAAAAGGCAACACCAGAUACCCAACAUGGUCUUUGAAGUUAAAAAAAUGACCUUUCGUUGAAUAAUUUUGGAGGUAACCUAGCUGCCUAAUUAUAUUUGCACUUACAGAAGACGGCAUCAGAGUUCCCUUAUUGGUUUGAAAUUCCAUUAAAUAUAUUGCAAGAGCGCCUAGGUUAAGCUUGAUUUAAAUUUGCAUACAUUUUCAUAUAUUUAGCAGAAAUAAAAGAAGGCUUGCUGCUACCAGAAAGUCAUUAAGGCAUUAGUUUCUCUAAGAAGACAGAUCUGAAGAAUGUGCAAGAAAAUGAGAAAAAAAUAAAAACAAGGUGAGCUUAUUCUGCCAUUCCUUUAUAUAGCUAAAGAGCAUCUAUUUCCUGUGAAAUGAGUAAUUUCUUAUGAGAGCACAGAGCAAUAGGAGCUGAUAUUGGUAAGUGUAAACGUGUUUAUUAGGCAUGAAAACCUGGCAUCUGAUUCAGAUCUAUUUCUUUUUUUCACUCUUUUUUUUUAAGGUAAACACUUAGUAAUUAUUGGCAGAGAGGAUCAUUUGCCAUCUCACCCCCUCUUCCUGCUCUCUCAUUGAAACUGUAGCUUCAUUUGCCCACGUCUUAUUGUAGAGGCUUAUCUGCUUUUAGAAAUUGAGUUUUCCUUUCUCUCUCUCUCUUUCUCUCUCUCCCGCCCCCCCCAACUCCCCACCUUUUCUGCUAAGGAACUCAUUCUUUACUGCUAACUGUUUGCAUCUUCCUUUGCAAGAAUGCAAUCUCAUUUGUGCCUGAAAUUCCGCUUCUGGAAGAAACAAGAACUUGUCAAAAUCAAACAAAAGUAAAGUUUUUAGGUGCUCUGUUAAGCUGGCCUUUGGAAGAUCCAUUUGUGAGUCUGUGUCGGCUCAAUUUAGAGGUCAGAGGGAAACGCGUUGAAGAAACCUUACGUGUAAAACGAUCAUGAUCAUUGCCAUGCUGUUUUUG